GGUCAAGCUACAAAGGGCGCAUGGUGAAUGCCUUGGCAUCAGGAGCCGAUGAAGGACGUGAUAAGCUGCGAUAAGCUUCGGGUAGGCGCACAUAGCCAGAGAUCCGAAGAUCUCCGAAUGAGGAAACUCACAUGGGAAACCCCAUGUAUCAUAAAGUGAAUACAUAGCUUUAUGAAGGUAUACCCAGGGAACUGAAACAUCUAAGUACCUGGAGGAAGAGAAAGAAAAAUCGAUUUUCUUAGUAGCGGCGAGCGAAAAGGAAAGAGCCCAAACCAGAGAUUUAUCUCUGGGGUUGCGGACAGAACAUAACGAGAAAUCAUAGUUAAUUGAACACAACUGGAAAGUUGGACCACAGUGGGUAAUAGUCCCGUAAGUGAAAACUAUGAUAAUCAGUUCUGCACCAGAGUACCACGAGACACGUGAAACCUUGUGGGAAGCAGGGAGGACCACCUCCCAAGGCUAAAUACUACCUGAUGACCGAUAGUGAAGCAGUACCGUGAGGGAAAGGUGAAAAGAACCCCGGGAGGGGAGUGAAAUAGAACCUGAAACCAUGUGCCUACAACCGAUCAGAGCACCUUAUGUGUGUGAUGAUGUGCUUUUUGUAGAACGAGCCAACGAGUUACGGUAUGUAGCGAGGUUAAGUACUUAAGGUACGGAGCCGAAGGGAAACCGAGUCUUAAUAGGGCGACUAGUUGCAUGCUGUAGACCCGAAACCGGGUGACCUAUCCAUGGCCAGGUUGAAGCGAGGGUAAAACCUCGUGGAGGACCGAACCACGUUGCUGUUGAAAAAGCAUGGGAUGAGCUGUGGAUAGCGGAGAAAUUCCAAUCGAACUCGGAUAUAGCUGGUUCUCCUCGAAAUAGCUUUAGGGCUAGCGUCGGAAAAUGUGAGUAGUGGAGGUAGAGCACUGAAUAGGCUAGGGGGCAUAGCGCUUACCGAACCUUAUCAAACUCCGAAUGCCACAUACUAUCAGUCCGGCAGUCAGACUAUGAAAGAUAAGUUCCAUGGUCAAAAGGGAAACAGCCCAGAUCGUCAGCUAAGGUCCCAAAGUGUAAGUUAAGUGGAAAAGGAUGUGGGAUUUCUAAGACAACUAGGAUGUUGGCUUAGAAGCAGCCACUCAUUAAAAGAGUGCGUAAUAGCUCACUAGUCAAGAGAUCCUGCGCCGAAAAUGUCCGGGGCUCAAACUUACCACCGAAGCUACGGGUUCACGCAUUUGCGUGAGCGGUAGAGGAGCGUCGUAAUCGGGCUGAAGUCGUACCGUAAGGAGCGGUGGACUGAUUACGAGUGAGAAUGUUGGCAUUAGUAGCGAGAUGUAGGCGAGAAUCCUACAGGCCGAAUAUCUAAGGUUUCCUGAGUAAAGUUUGUCUUCUCAGGGUUAGUCGGGACCUAAGGCGAGGCCGAAAGGCGUAGUCGAUGGACAAUUGGUUGAUAUUCCAAUACCACUAUAAUCGUUAUUAUCGAUGGUGUGACGGAGAAGGAUAGGAUGUGCUAGCUAUUGGAUGCUAGUCUAAGCGUUUAGGGAGUUGGGAUUGGCAAAUCCGUUCCAACAAUUCUGAGGCGUGAUGGGGAAGGUUCUACGGAACCGAAGUAUCUGAUUCCAUGCUUCCAAGAAAAGCAUCUAGAAAGAGAAGUAGUGCCCGUACCGCAAACCGACACAGGUAGAUGAGGAGAGAAUCCUAAGGCGACGGAAGAAUUGCAGUUAAGGAACUAGGCAAAUUGACCCCGUAACUUCGGGAGAAGGGGUGCCUGAGAAAUCAGGCCGCAGAGAAUAGGCACAAGCAACUGUUUAACAAAAACACAGGUCUCUGCUAAAGCGAAAGCUGAUGUAUAGGGGCUGACGCCUGCCGGUGCUGGAAGGUUUAAGGGGAACACUUAGCGAAAUAUCGUGAAGGUGUGAACUUAAGCCCAGUAAACGGCGGCCGUAACUAUUACGGUCCUAAGGUAGCGGAAAUUCCUUGUCAGGUAAAGUUCUGACCCGCACAAUGGCGUAUAUGACUUGUGCACUGUCUCAACUGCAAAUCCGGCCGAAGUUUGUAGUGCGGAGUGAAGAUGCUCGCUACCCGCGAUUGGACGGAAAGACCCCGUAGAGCUUUACUGUAGCUUAGCAUUGAAUUUCGGUAUUGUCUGUACAGGAUAGGUGGGAGACUGGGAAACUAGGGCGUCAGCCUUGGUGGAGUCGUUGUUGGGAUACCACCCUGAUAGUAUUGAAGUUCUAACUGGAUGCCAUGAAACUGGUGACAGGACAUUGUUAGGUGGGCAGUUUGACUGGGGCGGUCGCCUCCUAAAAUGUAACGGAGGCGCCCAAAGGUUCCCUCAGAACGGUCGGAAAUCGUUCGAAGAGUGUAAAGGCAGAAGGGAGCCUGACUGCGACACCUACAAGUGGAGCAGGGACGAAAGUCGGGCUUAGUGAUCCGGUGGUACCUCGUGGGAGGGCCAUCGCUCAACGGAUAAAAGCUACCUCGGGGAUAACAGGCUGAUCUCCCCCAAGAGUUCACAUCGACGGGGAGGUUUGGCACCUCGAUGUCGGCUCGUCGCAUCCUGGG
rnacentral:rRNA from 1 species